rnacentral:rRNA from 1 species
UACAUAGGUGGCAAGCGUUAUCCGGAUUUAUUGGGCGUAAAGCGUGCGCAGACGGUUUAUCAAGUUUGAGGUUAAAUAUUGGAGCUUAACUCCAAUUCGCCUUGAAAACUGUUAUACUAGAGUGUAGAAGAAGUUGAUGGAAUUCCAUGUGUAGCGGUGAAAUGCGUAGAUAUAUGGAGGAACACCAGUGGUGAAGACGGUCAACUGGUCUAUUACUGACGUUUAGGCACGAAAGCGUGGGGAGCAAAUA